rnacentral:rRNA from 1 species
UAAUACGGAGGGUGCAAGCGUUAUCCGGAAUCAUUGGGUUUAAAGGGUCCGCAGGCGGUCAAUUAAGUCAGAGGUGAAAUCCCAUAGCUUAACUAUGGAACUGCCUUUGAUACUGGUUGACUUGAGUUAUACGGAAGUAGAUAGAAUGUGUAGUGUAGCGGUGAAAUGCAUAGAUAUUACACAGAAUACCGAUUGCGAAGGCAGUCUACUACGUAUAUACUGACGCUCAUGGACGAAAGCGUGGGGAGCGAACAGGAUUAGAUACCCUGGUAGUCCACGCCGUAAACGAUGGACACUAGUUGUUGGGAUUUAUCUCAGUGACUAAGCGAAAGUGAUAAGUGUCCCACCUGGGGGGUACGGUCGCAAGAUUG